UCCUGUGGAUGAGCAAAAAAAGUGGUUUCUUGAGAGAGAAUCUACUACUGGUGAAAAUGCAGUGAA
rnacentral:pre_miRNA from 1 species